UACGGGGGGGGCAAGCGUUGUUCGGAAUUACUGGGCGUAAAGGGCUCGUAGGCGGCCAACUAAGUCAGACGUGAAAUCCCUCGGCUUAACCGGGGAACUGCGUCUGAUACUGGAUGGCUUGAGUUCGGGAGAGGGAUGCGGAAUUCCAGGUGUAGCGGUGAAAUGCGUAGAUAUCUGGAGGAACACCGGUGGCGAAGGCGGCAUCCUGGACCAACACUGACGCUGAGUGAGCGAAAGCCAGGGGAGCAAACGGG
rnacentral:rRNA from 1 species